GACCCGUCUUGAAACACGGACCAAGGAGUUUAACAUGUACGCGAGUCAUUGGGUUCUACGAAACCUAAAGGCGCAGUGAAAGUAAAGUCCUCCAUUGGGUGAGGCUGAGGUGCGAUCCGUGCUCCCUCGGGAGUGUGGCGCAGCACCGGCUCGKCGUAUACAUUUUAUGUGCGRCGAAGCAAGAGCGUACAUGCUGAGACCCGAAAGAUGGUGAACUAUGCUUGCGUAGGUCGAAGCCRGAGGAAACUCUGGUGGAGGACCGAAGCGAUUCUGACGUGCAAAUCGAUCGUCAAACGUGAGUAUAGCGGCGAAAGACUAAUCGAACCAUCUAGUAGCUGGUUCCCUCCGAAGUUUCCCUCAGGAUCGCUGGCACUUUCAAACAGUUUCAUCCGGUAAAGCGAAUGACUAGAGGUAUUGGGGGCGAAAUGCCCUCAACCUAUUCYCAAACUUGAAAUGGGUGAGAGCCCAGACUCUCUUAACUGGAGUCUGGGYUAGCAGAAUGUGAGUGCCCAGUGGGCCAUUUUUGGUAAGCAGAACUGGCGAUGCGGGAUGAACCGAACGUGGCUGUUACGGUGCCUAACAUGACGCUCAUGAGACACCACAAAAGGUGUUGGUUGAUAUAGACAGCAGGACGGUGGCCAUGGAAGUUGGAAUCCGCUAAGGAGUGUGU
rnacentral:rRNA from 1 species